UCAAUUGCGUUUAGGGGCGCAUAUUAUUAAGCGGAAGAAAAGAAAAUAACAAUGAUUCUUUUAGUAACGGCGAGUGAACAAAGAAAAGCUCAACAUGGAAAAUCCGACAGAUAGCUACCCGCGAUUUGUCGGAAUUGUCAAGUUGAAAAACAUUCCAAGAGUUCUUUUUUAUAAUAUGACAAUGAGAAGAAGUAGAUAGAAAUGUCUCUCCUUAGAGGGUGAAAGACCCGUAUUCUUAAUCAUAAAACUGAUCAAUUGGAAUGUUUUGUUUUUGAGUCGUGUUCUUUGAGACUGGAGCACUAAUUAGUGUGAUACAUUUCACAUAAAGCUAAAUAUUUGUAAGAAACCGAUAGUAAACAAGUACCGUGAGG
rnacentral:ncRNA from 1 species